rnacentral:misc_RNA from 1 species
GAUGAAGAACGCAGCGAAAUGCGAUAAGUAAUGUGAAUUGCAGAAUUCAGUGAAUCAUCGAAUCUUUGAACGCACCUUGCGCUCCUUGGUAUUCCAAAGAGCAUGCCUGUUUGAGUAUCAUUAAAUUAUCAACUGUACCAAUUUGGUUGCAGAUUGGAUGUGGGAGAUUUUGCAGGCUUUUGAUUUCUCUUUGAGAAAACGGUCAGCUCUCCUGAAAUAUAUUAGCAGUGCCUUUGUUGGUUCAUUAGGUGUGAUAAUUUAUCUACAUCUUCACAUGGUACCUUCAUUUGUGUAAAGGUCAUAUUGCUUCUAAUUGUCUUUGGACAUAAAAAAAAAAAACAUAUAAUUGUAUGGAAAACUUGAUCUCAAAUCAGGCAGGACUACCCGCUGAACUUAAGCAUAUCAAUAAGCGGAGGA